rnacentral:rRNA from 1 species
AUUGAACGCUGGCGGCAGGCCUAACACAUGCAAGUCGAACGAGUGGCGGACGGGUGAGUAAUGUCUGGGGAACUGCCCGAUAGAGGGGGAUAACUACUGGAAACGGUCGCUAAUACCGCAUACCAUCGGAUGUGCCCAGAUGGGAUUAGCUAGUGGGUGGGGUAACGGCUCACCUAGGCGACGAUCCCUAGCUGGUCUGAGAGGAUGACCAGCCACACUGGAACUGAGACACGGCCCAGACUCCUACGGGAGGCGUCAGUGGGGAAUAUUGCAAAAGGGGCGCAAGCCUGAUGCAGCCAUGCCGCGUGUAUGAAGAAGGCCUUCGGGUUGUAAAGUACUUUCAGUAGCGAGGCGUUACCUGCAGAAGAAGCACCGGCUAACUCCGUGCCAGCAGCCGCGGUAAUAC